ACAUAAAAUCACAGAGAAAAUUAAACAGAAAAAAGCAGGAAAAGGGCACCAGAAUACAACAGAUGGGUGGGUAAAGGAACUGGGAAUAUUGAUUGGAUAAGAUAUAGAUCUGCAGCACAUGGGCUUUAAUAAUGCUGUUCUUUUUGAGUUUCUUUUUUGUCUUGUCCACAGUGCUCUCUGCUGAGCGUUGGCUGAGGAAGUGCGUCACACGCACGAAACGUUCCGGAUAUGCCCCCUGCCCACCGCUGAUCCUCUGACCUGCCCGUGACUCCAGCAUGAAGAAAUAUAAGUUUCCAGAUUGUUGAAUUUUAUGCCUUUUGAUGGCGCGAGAUGAAUGACUGAAGAAUGGAAGUGCAUGGAAGAAUAAAACCAUAUACAGAUAGGAGGCGGUGUAACACUCCAACAAUCUCCCUCCCCCGACACCCCCAAAAAGCAUCUCAGUGGUGGAUAUCAAAGACCCAAUGGUCAGGAAACUGAAGGGAAAAGCAUACACGGAGACUUUGGUAAGUAACCACACUUUUAAAAAGCAAGAUAUCAUUUUUAAACAUAUCAGUGCAUACUUCUUAUAUGAAAAUAUACACAAUUAUAUUUCAUUGUCAAGAAAAAAAAAAUAAACUAAUGAAAAACAAAAAAAUAAAACAUUAAAAACAAAAGAAAAGCGAACCAGCCAAACACAAUAUAUUAGCUAUUUUUUGUUUAAAUUUUAAACGCUACAAUUUUGUUGAGGUUACAUCUUUUUGUCUUUUUUUUUUUGUAUUAUUUUUUGGUGUUUUUUUUUGUAAAUAUUACUUCAUGCAUUUUACACCUUUUUUUUAGCCUUUUGAGAAUAAAUAUGCUCCUUUUUUUUUUUUCUUUUUUUUAACAUUUUCUUCACUCUUCUAAAAACUGCAGCAUUUAACUUGUAAUUGUUUUUUUGUUUUUUUUGUGUCGUGCAAGUUUCUGCCACACCCCUUAAUAAAAUGAGGAAAAUAAAAUGGAAAAAAAAAAAAAAAAUUAACCAAAAACAAAAAAUAAAAUAAAACUGAACAAUAAUAUCUACUCUACAGAACGCAAAUUUACGAAUAUAAAAAAAUAUUCACAAUGUAACUGUCAACAGCACAAAUGAGCACAAGAAAUAAUAUUAAAAAUCAGAAACAAAUAUUUAUACAGAUAAAAACAGGGUGCGGGAAGUAUAUAUAUAUAUAUAUUUUGUUUUGUUUUUUAAAGAUUGUCAUUUGUUUUCCUUGUCUUGAAAAUGAAUGAGUUUUCAUUUACAUGUGUGAAAAAAAACUAAAAUUGAUUCUCUAAGAACCUGAUUGAGUUGCCAAGGGCCCAUUCAAAUCAUCUAACGUCCAUGUGAUGCCAUAACAGCCGGCUGUGCCGAAAAUAAACCAAUUUUUAUUAAUAAUUUUUUGUCUUUUUGGUGGUUUUGACUGCAUAAUUUUGCUGUUUCUUUUUGUAUUUUUUUGUUUUUUAUUUGAAUUUAAAAUUUGUGUUGGUAUUUUAUAAUGAUUUUUUUUUAUUCUAUAAGCAAACGAAAAGAUUCUAAAAUAGAGAAUUUUUUUUUUUUACUGAGAAUUUGUUAGAAUUGGAAGAAAAAAAUAUGAAAAUUAAAAAAUUGUUUAGUUAAUUUUUAAAAAAAUUCUUUUCAAGUAUAGAUGGGUGUAUGCUAAAGUGGGUACAGCAAGGUAUGAAGAAGUCUUGCUUAUUGUUCAUACCGCUUUUAUACCUGCCAGAAUAUUUGGAUAUUUUAUCAACUGGAUGGGUUGGAUGGGACACUAGUUCCUAAAAAAAAAUGUGUAAGAGUAUAGGCAACAUGGUAGAAAUUAAUAAUUAAAAAAAAUUUAAUUAAAAAAAAAAAAAUAUAUAUAUAUAUAUAUAUUUAUAUAUAUUAAUU